AGGUUAAUUAUAUCAUCUGCCAUGUUGAAAGUAAAGUUUACAGAUGAUAUACUUUUACUGGUUAAUUCUA
rnacentral:snoRNA from 1 species